rnacentral:rRNA from 1 species
UACAGAGGGGGCGAGCGUUAUUCGGAAUUAUUGGGCGUAAAGAGCUCGUAGGCGGUUUGUCGCGUCUGCCGUGAAAGUCCGGGCUCAACUGCAGGCUGGCGGUCGAUACGGGCAGGCUGGAGUUCGGUAGGGGAGACUGGAAUUCCUGGUGUAGCGGUGAAAUGCGCAGAUAUCGUAAGGAAGACCAGUGGCGAAGGCGGGUCGUCUGGACCAGUUCCUGACGCUGAGGCACGAAGGCCAGGG